CGCUCAAUGGCUUGUCAUCAAUGGUGUCCCUCUCUACAACAAAAUUUUACUUGAAACAAACAUAAAUAACUGAUGUUGCAAUUGGUUGCCUAGUCUUCUAUCUAGUGAUGUUACUUCGAGGCAUCAAAAGAAUUAAAUCAAUUAAAAUUAAUUUCAAAGUUGAAAUUCAAAAUAUUUGAAGAAACAUAUACUUUUGUGACUCAUCUUCAAUUUUUUCCUGUUUGCUCCAACAGGUGGCUCUCACGAUCCAAUACUUCUACACGAUUCUUGAUGAAGCUAGCUACCUCGACAGCUGCCGUGUUGGUGCAUGGAACAAAAUUAACACCGUUUAUGAUCGAUUAAUAUAUGAGAAGGGAUUUGCCACGGCAGUUCGAGUUUGGAUGACCUG
rnacentral:lncRNA from 1 species